GAUGAACGCUAGCGGCAGGCCUAAUACAUGCAAGUCGGACGGGAUUCCGUUUUAGCUUGCUAUAACGGAUGAGAGUGGCGCACGGGUGCGUAACGCGUGAGCAACCUGCCCAUGUCAGGGGGAUAGCCCGUUGAAAGACGGAUUAACACCGCAUAAAGAUAUCUGCCGGCAUCGGCAUAUAUCCAAAUAUUUAUAGGACAUGGAUGGGCUCGCGUGGCAUUAGCUAGUUGGUAAGGUAACGGCUUACCAAGGCUAUGAUGCCUAGGGGCUCUGAGAGGAGAAUCCCCCACACUGGUACUGAGACACGGACCAGACUCCUACGGGAGGCAGCAGUAAGGAAUAUUGGUCAAUGGGCGGGAGCCUGAACCAGCCAUGCCGCGUGCAGGAUGAGGGCCCUCUGGGUUGUAAACUGCUUUUGUACGGGAACAACCGUGGGUACGUGUACCUGCCUGAGUGUACCGUAAGAAUAAGGAUCGGCUAACUCCGUGCCAGCAGCCGCGGUAAUACGGAGGAUCCGAGCGUUAUCCGGAAUUAUUGGGUUUAAAGGGUGCGUAGGCGGCAUUUUAAGUCAGGGGUGAAAUACGGCAGCUCAACUGUCGCAGUGCCUUUGAUACUGAGGUGCUUGAAUGUGGUCGAAGCCGGCGGAACGGGACAAGUAGCGGUGAAAUGCAUAGAUAUGUCCCAGAACCCCUAUUGCGAAGGCAGCUGGCUAGGUCAUUAUUGACGCUGAUGCACGAAAGCGUGGGUAUCGAACAGGAUUAGAUACUCUGGUAGUCCACGCCCUAAACGAUGAUGACUCGAUGUUGGCGAUAUACAGUCAGUGUCCAAGCGAAAGCGUUAAGUCAUCCACCUGGGGAGUACGGCCGCAAGGCUGA
rnacentral:rRNA from 1 species